UACAGAGGUCCCAAGCGUUGUUCGGAUUCAUUGGGCGUAAAGCGCGCGUAGGUGGCUUCGUAAGUCCGUUGUGAAAGUCAAAGGCUCAACCUUUGAAAGCCGAUGGAUACUGUGAAGCUAGAGUACGGAAGAGGCGAGUGGAAUUCCUGGUGUAGCGGUGGAAUGCGCAGAUAUCAGGAGGAACACCAAUAGCGAAGGCAGCUCGCUGGGACGUUACUGACACUGAGGCGCGAAAGCGUGGGGAGCGAACAGG
rnacentral:rRNA from 1 species